UGACCGUUUUGGAGAACGGAAGUGCGCGUCGUGUUAAAUAGAUUAAAACAACAAAAAGUAGUACAGAAAAGUUAAAACAGUGAUCGAAAAAUCGUAAAGCGAUCAAAUAAAAACACAAAAAAAGUACGUUACCUAAACAAAACGUUAACAAACAUACAACAAACAUUGUAACAAAAGUGUGACGAAAAACAACAUAAAAAGGUCCAAGAGGGCCUUUUUUUUGUUCUUUUGGCUUUUCUAUCAGAGCACGGCGCCCCGGAGUAUUGUUACUGAAUCCCAAAACCGGAGUAAUCCAGACAGAAAGGAAUUGUCUGACACCGCUUCAGACCCGACGGCAAAAGGUCUACCGACAACAGCAUCAUCGGAAAUUGGCCAGUAGUUUUCAACUGUCGUUUAUUGGUCCUUCCGGGACGCCGGAAGUGGACCGGUGAAACAUUGGCCUGUUCCGAACCUACGAAGCUGCUCGCCGUGAAUCAACAAAAUGACCGCUGAAAACAACCAUACAUCGGGUUCCGCGGCCUUGACUAACGCCGCUGUGCCAGCAAUAGAACGAACCGCAAGUAUAGAUAAGCUAAAAACCUGUGACGUCAGUA